AGUUUACUUCCCGGGGCUUCUUUCCUUCACUCCCUCUUUGCUGUUUGUCCCCUCCCCUCCCUGUCCCGGGUCCUAGAGUUCCAACAGUUUUUGGUCCCGAGGGCUGCCGGGGCCUCCUACCCUGACAUUGGAAGCUGCCCCUGGGGGUUUGGGUGCACAGUUUGGACCACGCGAGCCCCUGAGAGCUUAGUCCAUCUAACCUGUAAGUCACAGACAUCUGGACAAUUUCAAUCAUCAAUAAGGAAGUAUAUCAUUAAGAAACAGUGGGGUAUUUUUAAAGAGUUGGAAGACUUACCAUGAGUUUAAGCACUUCAAGUAAUACCACUGGUGAUACCCAAAGGUGUGACAAAUGGUGGUUCCAUCCUAACAGCAUCAUGGAGGAGAUGGCAGCUAUGGAGUUGGGCGAC